GGAAGACCUAAAAAUAGUGGCAAAAAGCCAACCGAGCUUGGUGAUAGCUGGUUACUCAACAAAUGAACUUUAGUUCAACUUUAGGUGCCCAUGGGCCAACUACUUUAACCCACCACCCUUUAACCUAAAGAAAUUCAAUGGGGGUACAGCCCCAUUGAACCGGAAUACAACCCGAAUUGAGAGACACCUACUAAACUUUAACCCUAACAGUAGGCCCCAAAGCAGCCACCAACUAAACGCGUUACAGCUACAACAAAACAAUUUUUACAAUAAUAUACACCUCCUAGUAUACCACGAGUUAUUCUAUUUUUUAAUAGAAACACCAAUGCUAAAAUUAGUAAUAAGAAACCCUAAUUUCUCUCCGCACCCCCUUAAAUCAGAAUAGAAAAACUACUGAUAAUUAACACAACACGACCUACAACAACUAGUUAACAUGUCAACUAAAAUCUGUUACCCCAACACAGGAGUGCAAAAAAGAAAGGCAAAAAGCCAUAAAAGGAACUCGGCAAACCCUACCGUCCCAACUGUUUACCAAAAACAUAGCCUUUAGCUCAACAAGUAUUAAAGGUCCCGCCUGCCCAGUGACUCUUUAAACGGCCGCGGUAUCCUAACCGUGCAAAGGUA
rnacentral:rRNA from 1 species